rfam:Ictidomys tridecemlineatus contig082768, whole genome shotgun sequence.
UAAAAGCCUUUAUUAAAAGCCAAUACACAUAUUCAAAAUAAUGUUCU